AUUGAACGCUGGCGGCAGGCCUAACACAUGCAAGUCGAGCGGCAGCGGGAAAGUAGCUUGCUACUUUUGCCGGCGAGCGGCGGACGGGUGAGUAAUGCCUGGGAAAUUGCCCAGUCGAGGGGGGUAACAGUUGGAAACGACUGCUAAUACCGCAUACGCCCUACGGGGGAAAGCAGGGGAACUUCGGGCCUUGCGCGAUUGGAUAUGCCCAGGUGGGAUUAGCUAGUUGGUGAGGUAAUGGCUAACCAAGGCGACGAUCCCUAGCUGGUCUGAGAGGAUGAUCAGCCACACUGGAACUGAGACACGGUCCAGACUCCUACGGGAGGCAGCAGUGGGGAAUAUUGCACAAUGGGGGAAACCCUGAUGCAGCCAUGCCGCGUGUGUGAAGAAGGCCUUCGGGUUGUAAAGCACUUUCAGCGAGGAGGAAAGGUUGAUGCCUAAUACGUAUCAACUGUGACGUUACUCGCAGAAGAAGCAUCGGCUAACUCCGUGCCAGCCGCCGCCGUAAAAC
rnacentral:rRNA from 1 species